UCGGAGAAACGAUCGUAGAGUCGGCCAUUUUCGCUGGUCGUGGGAGCAGCGAGAGCUAGCCUUCCCGUGUCCGGCGCGGUCUUCUCUCGCGUGUGUGUGUUACGCUGAGCUGUCGUCCGUCCCACAGCUGAGCCGUUAAAACCGCGGGCGCGAAUAAUACCGAGAAAUAAAGGGGGAACAAAUAUCAGAUCCAGGAGAAAAAAGAACGAACCGUAGUGAGAAUAAAGGUGGAAAGUUAGUGGUGUUGAUCGUAGGUGUAUCUCAUGGGGUCCGCCUUAUCAGUAUUUGCGAUAAUCCGCCGAAAGAGUAGCACAUAACCGUCAGAUAUAGAAAAAAAGUACAGCCGGUUCUUAGUCACAAAAUUCUGCGAAAGAAGAAAGAAUCACAGAACGAGAGAGAGAGAGAGAGAGAGAGAGAGAGAGAGAGGGCGAACGAAGGAAAAAUAGAGUAGUGAGGGGAGAGAAGACGGUGAAGACAUCACCCGGUAAGGGCUUAAAAAAGGGGCGAGACACAGAGUAUUAACGAAGGGCACCAAAAGGUGUAAAGCCUCGACAUAUCUUCGAAAACACAAGAGGAAGGUAAAAACAUCGUUUUUCGUGUGGCAUGAGUGACAAGAAAUCGAGUUUAAUUUCAAAAGUGUUGAGUUGAAAAAAACAAAUCAAACGUGUAAAACAAACCACAUAUUUAUUCGGUGAUUCGGGCGAGGCGAGUGUGAGUCGUUGAGUUUAUUGAACGACAUUGACGCGGGGUCCCGUUCAUUCGAACGUCAUCCGAGGUUCCGCGAGAGUGUACAUUUCGCCGUUUUUAUCUCUUUUUACCGUGCGUAUCCCUCAUGACUUUCGGGCACAGUGAUUUGGUGGAGCGAGAGAGAAGAGCGUGCGCGUAGUGAUUUCAGUUAAUCGUUUUUUCCACGAUAUCAAGUCGGAUUCAUCUGAGUGAAGACGAAACAAGAAAGAUAGAAAGAUAGACACACAGGCAGGCCGGUCGAUCGGUGCGUUGGAGAGUUCUUAACCGUGAGAACCCUCCGUUUUAUCAAAGGAGCGCUCGGCAGAAAGAGAGAGGAAGAGAGAGAGAGAGAGAGAGAGAGAAAGGAAGAGUAUAGAGCGUCGAGGAAGAACAUCGAGGGUAGCGCGGGUGGGUGGGGGCGAAAAACACUGUGCUCUGUGACAGGAAGGUGCGGAUAGGAGCGAGCCGGCUCCGAUAUUGUAAAAAGGAGAGAAAAAAACAUAUACACACACAAGUACGAUGGCGGGACAAACUAUAAACGACAGGCUGUUGGCCGCGAGACACAGUAUUGCGGGCCAGGGCCUUGCAAAGUCCGUAUGCAAAGCGACCACCGAGGAGAUGAUCGGACCAAAGAAAAAACAUCUUGAUUAUUUAAUACAUUGCACGAACGAGCCCAACGUUUCGAUACCACAACUGGCAAAUCUCCUGAUCGAGAGAUCCCAAAACACAAAUUGGACAGUCGUCUUUAAGGCUCUAAUAACCGUACAUCACAUGCUCUGCUAUGGAAACGAGAGGUUUACUCAGUACCUUGCGUCGAGCAACAGCACGUUCCAGCUCAGUAAUUUCCUGGACAAAAGUGGUGUGCAAGCCGGAGCUCGGGUGGGGUACGAUAUGUCGCCGUUCAUCAGGCGAUACGCCAAAUAUCUUAACGAGAAAGCAAUGUCGUACAGAAGUGUGGCCUUCGAUUUCUGCAAAGUCAAACGAGGGAAGGAAGAUGGCACGCUGCGCACAAUGAACGUUGAAAAACUUCUGAAGACCUUGCCGGUGCUCCAGGCACAGUUGGACUCACUCCUUGAAUUCGAUUGCACGGCCAAUGAUCUCACCAAUGGCGUUAUCAGUAUGGCUUUCAUGCUUCUCUUCCGAGAUCUUAUAAGGCUCUUUGCUUGCUACAACGAUGGUAUCAUUAAUCUAUUAGAAAAGUACUUCGACAUGAAUAAAAAGCAAUGCAGAGACGCUUUGGAUCUGUACAAAAAGUUUCUAAUACGAAUGGAUCGGGUCGGAGAAUUCCUCAAAGUUGCUGAGAGUGUGGAUAUCGACAAAGGCGAUAUUCCUGACCUCACCAAGGCUCCGAGCAGUUUGUUGGACGCAUUGGAACAGCACUUGGCAUCCCUCGAAGGAAAGAAAGGUUCGGCGGCCAACACCCCGACUCAAUCAGCCAGCAAUAGAACGAAUGUAAAGUCGGGAGUGUCCGCCCUGUCUUCCACCAGUACGGCCUUUGGAACCGCCGCCAGCAACGCCCGACUCGAUCACACCGGUAAUGGACACAUCGACGAGGCUCUCAGACAACAGGCUCUCGCCGAGGAGGAGGCUGCUAUGAAUCAGUACAAGGCCAAGGUACAAUCACCAUCGGGUGGACCGAGCACGAAUCCGUUCCUGAGUUCACCAACCGGAAGCGGAAAUCAGCCGAUCGUCGAUCUCUUCGGUUCAGCGCCGACCACAGAUUCUCAGUCUCAGAAAGCGUCGGAUGACCUUCUCCAGCUUGCAGGAAAUCCGUUUGCCGACAUGUUCGGAGCGCCACAACCGGCAGCUCCUCAACAACCGCAGCCACAAAACAAUAUGUGGAUGACCAACGGUAAUGGUUUCGCGGUUGGGCCAGCGGCAAGUAAUAACUUUGUUACAGAUAACAAUUUCUCAUCGGUGUUCGGAGGUCAAGAACAAGGGACGGCUGCCGGCCCAGGAUCGGUUGGAUCCGUGCCCAAUCCCUUCAUGAACGAUUUUCCACCUCCCAACACGAGCAAUCCUCAACCUUCCGGUAACAACGCGACGAUCGGUAUGUUCGGUAACGAGUCCCGUAACGCCGGGGGAGAUCCCUUCAGUGGGGUCGGACAGGCGGAUAUGUUUGGGGGCGACUCUGCAAUGGCGAAGACUUCGGAUAUCGUUGAGGCCGUUGGUGCUGACUUUGUUAACGCUGGUAAUAACGUCGUCCAGAAUAAUAACGGGCAGCAAUCAUCAUCAGCGGGUUCAAUGUCGCAUGCGACCUCACUGGGUACUGCAAAGUCCAAUGCAACGCCGCCGCCCAGACCGCCCCCACCCGGAACAAUCGGUGCUGUUAAUGACAAUUCAACGCCGAGGCCAAUGUCACCCGCGAUUGGAGCUCCUUCCAACUCCGCUGGUAGACAAAACUUUGCGAAUCCCAAUAAGAGCGCCUUCGACGAUCUCAAUGACAGCAUUCGUAUGGCACUGGGUGGGUCUCCUUCGCGUCCGGCACCCGGCGCUCCAUCCCAAGCCACUCAACUCUCGCAACAGCAGCAAUCCAUCCCCAAUCAACAACCGCAGCAACGACAAAUUCCUGGCGGAUGGAUCGCCGAUAACGACAUUGCUCCUGUUGCUAAUGUCGGUGGCUUGGCUAUGACGGCUCCUGCUUCUGGACAAACGGUUAUGGGACCCGUUACCAAUACCGGAUAUCCCCAAAUCCCUAACCAAACUUCCCAGCUACCCGUGGGAUACGGCUCUCCGGCAAAACAACCAAUGUCAGCAGCGGGUCAACCGGCGACAACAACCACCGCCGGAAGCAAAGUACUGACUGGCGAUUUGGACAGCAGCCUGGCAAGCCUCGCUCAAAAUCUCACCAUCAACAAAAGCGCCCAACCCCAAGUCAAGACUAUGCAGUGGAACUCGCCGAAGAAUACAGCAAAGACGGGUGGCCCAGCUGGAUGGACGCCUCAGCCAAUGGCAGCUACGACCGGAGCGGGAUAUCGUCCAAUGGGCCAAGGAAUGACGCAACUCCCUCCAACCACCACUUUGGGCUUCUCUCAAACCGCACCGUUGGGUAUGCAAAAUAUGCCGAUGGGCAUGCAGGGUAUGCAGGGUAUGAGGCCAAUGAUGGGUGUUAUGCCUGGUGAGAACGCCGGGACUACCGGAGCGGCCCCAAUGAUGAUGACCGGUGCGAACCCAAUGAUGGGUCCCGGUGGCCCUAUGCAACCUCAACAGCAACCUCAAUCCAUCGGUGGCCAAACGACCAAUAACGCCGUACAGCUUGAUCCCUUUGGUGCUCUGUGAAAGGAUCUCUAGGAAUAAAAUCGCAACGGCGAGAUAAAAAUGGGAGGAACCACUUUGUAAAUACUGUGUAAUAAGCCUAUUUGCAGAACAAGAGGAAAAGUGAAAAAUAGGCUCUGCUUUUGUCUCGUCGAUAUAUUUCCCUCCCCCGAUGAAAAAAAAUUUCCCCGUUGUUGGUUAUCGUUUGAAUGACCUGCCUUAAAGAUUCCCCACUUUCGUUGCCGCGCGGCUAGUUCUGUGUAUAAAACUUUUAAUAAGACGGCCCAUAGUGCUUAGGACAGAGAGCGAGCGAUUUUAAGGAUGCGAGAUACGUUAAUGGUACACACACAAAAACAACAAAAUUGAGAGAAACGAAAACGCUGAGAUAUAUUAUAGCUAAGCCACUCCAUAGAUUCAUAUAUAAAUAACGAAAAAAAGCAAAUAGUUGAAAUAGCCGAAAAGAAUUUUCUCGUUGUCAAAAGUUCAAGGAAAAGCCCAUUUAAGAUGUAAAACGCUUGCCAAAGAUCUCGAGAAUACGGCCCGAAACGUGCGUUGACGUCAACUCGUCAUCGCAAGAUCGUUCGAUAUUAAUGAUUUCAUCUCGUCGCAAGAUUAACCAUUAUUUUUGAAGUUACACACCGAAAAACUCACGAAAAGUCUCUAAUCUACGAUCUUGGGGGAUUUAAAAAAUUCGUCUUUUUCGAUCAACCAAUGGGCGAGAGAAGCGAAUAAUUCAAAAAAGGAGAUAAAUAAGCAGUUGUUGAGGGGAAAAAAAAGAAAUAUUCACUUUCACACACAUACAUACACUCCAUAUCACGCGUCUUAUUAUAAAACCGUGGCAUAUCCAUGUUGUACAUUAUUAUUUUUUAAUUUUGUCUCCUUCAUUUACAAUAUAUUAUUUUAUUUCCCUUCGUUAAGCUAGGUAUCGCUGAUAGUUAAUGGAACAAAAGAAAAACAAGUUACGGUGGGAUUAAGUAUUAACAAAUUAUAAAUAUAUAUAUAUAUAUAUAAAUAUUUGUAUAUCUAUACAAAUUUAUAUUCAUAUAUAUAUAUAUGUAUAAUCAAAAAACAAUAUCACCGAUACAAUUGUACGCAUAUAUGAGAAAAAAAACGAAAGAAAACGAUUGCAUAUGUGUAUAUAUACGUAAGAUAUAUAUGUACAAGAGAACGUCUACGAAUAAUGCAAUUAUUACGCGAUAAAUAUUAUAAUAAAUGUAGAGAGAGAGAGAGAGAGAGAGCGAAAGGAAGAAAAAGAGAGCACGAGAGAUUGAAAAAAACAUAAUUAAUCAAUAGAUAGUCCUAAUUUUAUCAAUGUUCUCUUAUUACAUACCGUUCCGAAAUAUAUAUAUGUAUAUAUAAAUGCUAUAUAUACAUAUAUAUAAAUAUAUAUAUAUAUAUAUAUAAAAUCCUAGGUAGUGCGUUAAUUAUUCAUGUUAUAGAAUGGAAAGGAAAGGAAAAAAUCAAGACUACGAUACUCACGUAAUUAUAAAGAAUAAUGUCUACGAUCGUCGUCGUGGUCGUUAUGGUUACCGCGAUGAAAUGGGAAGUAAGAUAAACGUUAAUCAUUGCUUCGUUGCUUUUCGAGCACGCAGAGUUACGUCGACUGAUUGCAACUAUCGGGAUAUUCAUAAAACUUUUGGAAGAGUGCAAACGAAGAAAUCUAAGCAAUUAUGUGUGUUUUCACGAGGGGUAGAAAAAUGAAAUUUUUUUGCUUUUAUCUUUGUUCUUGAAAUAUUGAAUUUUUUCAUCGAUUCAUAACAAGAAGAUUUUCAAUCUAUUUUGUUAACGUUGAUAAAUUUUAUGCAUGCGUGUUAUACAUAUUUGCGAUUGUGUAAUUUUCGAUGCUCUUUUUUUUCGAACAAAAUGUCAAAUUGUGGAACGAAAUGAAUUGAUUUUGUAAAUCGGUCUACUGCGAGCAAUGUUGUUGGAACGGAAGGUUCUGACUCUCUUCUCAUACAACUGACACGCCGAGAUUGAUUUUUUUUAACAAUUUUUGCUUCAGACGUCAGUGCUAAUGUGAAACAAAAUUACGAAUGAAUCGCCUCUACUGUUUCGCUCGAAUACAAAGUUCGAUACGAGCGAUAUUUUCUCUGUUCUUUUUUUUCCUUGCGAACAGAAAGAAUGAGUCAGAAGUUUGAAAAAGUGCUAUAUAUGUAUAUGUUGAAGCGUGCAGUGCUAGUCUAAAUAUUCGAUGUACAUUUCGUAGCGAAAAUGCAUGUGUUCGUGGAGGAGCGAUGAUAAAAUUGAUGUAAAAGUUUGACGAAAAUGAGAGAGUAAUUAGCCGCUUCAUUUCCUCACGCGCGUUUUUCCCUCCGUUUUCUUCUCUGUUCAUUUUUAUACAUUUCCAUUUUUUAUUCUCUUGAAUCGUCGUCACUGAUGUUCAUUUUGUACUCUCGUUGUUUGCGAAUGAAUUUUGAAAUCUUGCAUACUAUAUUUAGCAGAGGCAAAAGGGAAGAAAGAGGGACAGCAAAUGGCGACAUUAAUGUGUCCGAUCAAGCAGGGAAACGGGUUUAAUUAGAUCAAUUAUAAUCGCAUCGAUCAGCCGAACGAAUGUAAUCGAACGGGCGCGGAGUGAGGAAAAAAAAUAUUAAAAUAAUAACGAUAUUAAAAAUAAUAGGAGACAGCAAAAAUUGUAACUUGUAUAUUAAAAUCGGGCCGAUGUGUAAUGGCAUUUAGAAAAUUCGUAAGUUUACGAAUAAUUGUAUUAUAUCGAUAAAAGAACAAACAAAACAAUCCGGAGGAAUCAAAUAAACGAAAUACUGCUUUGGCUCGACGUGACCUUGGGCGACGAAAAUAAUUGUAUCAUUAGUAAAAUUAAUGAAAAAUACGAAAACGAAACGUUGAAUAAAUGUGGAAAACUCAAAAAAAACAAAAAAAAUCAAUAUCGUGCGAGGCACAUUCGUACAGGGAACAGACAAAAUGAAGAAUAAAACGAAACGAAAAAAAACUAACCAUGGCGAAUCCACCUGCGGUAGGUUCUAGUAUAGUUUUUAGGCGAAUGAAGUGAAAGAGAGAAUCUUUAGAUCAUUUUCGUAGAAUCUUAGUCCUCGGCAACGACGUUGGAGCUUUGAAAUGAAAAUUUUGAGAAAUAGGAGAAAAAAAUGUCAGAACGAAGGGUACACGAGGAUGGAUGAAGAAUAUGGAUUUUUACGGUUUAUCGCGCACAAUGAUUUACUGAGAGGAUGAAGAAGAGAGGAAAAAAAACAACAAAUAUAAACAAGGCACGUUAACUUAGACGAGGUCAAUUCGUCGUAACCCAGUUCUCGUAUGUUCUUUUCAAUGUCGAGCUCUCCCAAAGUCCACACUUUCCAUCUCUCCCCCACCCAAGCAUUUUUUUCCCUCUCCUUCGAAGUGGCCACGUUGAAUCAUUUUCAAAAGUCAUUAUUGUUGCGAAGUCUGUCGAAGUACGCGUUUCGAACGACCUUCGAUCAAUAAUUUAUGUCAAACUUUUUUUUUUAUUCGUUGCCAGUGUAAAUUCGUAUUUUGCACUAUCAUUCUUAGAAAUUAGAGCUCAUUGAUAAGGUUCUAUGUCAUUUUUCAAUGAAGUGACUGAAAAUCUAUGGCAGAACUUUGGAAAACUCUUUUGGUUGAUGUCACAUCACCGCGUACGAGAAAAGUCCAACUAGACCCUUUCGAAAUUACGCCUCAAUCUUGCGUUCAUAAAAACGUUGCGAUCCCAAAGGAUAAAAACGUUAUUUAGUCAAUUAGUGCGUUCGUUUCGGAGACGAGAAAUGAAUAAAUUAUGAGAAUAAUUGGUCCGGGGGGAAACGAUGAAAAUAAAUCUGUCUCAUAUACAUUUUUUGUGUUAAUCAAGAAUAUCGAAAAAUCUAGACACAGAAAUAACGAGAAUUGAUAUACUUCGAAAUAAAUGGAUGGAGCGUCGAAUGAUUUUGAAAUGGAAUUCAACGGAGUUUGCUUUGUUGGCCCUAAAGAAAAAAAAAAAAACGGUGCAAGAGGAUGCGAAUAUUAAUGAGAAAUCCAAACCUACUGGUCAUUAAGUGUAACAGGACAAUAUUACGUGUAUAACCCGCAAAAAAAUAUAAAUAUUAUAUCAGAGAACCUUAAUUAAAUCUAAUAAGAACGCUGUACUCCUUCUUAGGCUAGAGAAUACAUAAGUUAUUGAUUCUGAAGCGAGAGAGGCGAGAGAUAUGCGUUAAGAAAAGAUAUUUGGAAAAAUGCACGAUAUAAAGAAACGAAUAAAUAGUCUGAUGGCUAUAAUUUGUUCGACGACGAAUAUAUUACUAUUGUAUUGUACAGAUAUAUAUUAUAUAUACAAAUAUAUAUUAUAAUUCACCGCAUACUUUCGUUGAUCCGACGAACCGACGAUUUUCGUAGCGUUUCCGUGCUUGCCACCAGAAUGUUGUUUAUUAUCGUUAUAAAAACGUCACAAUCAUUUGAAAACGCCAGAGUACAUGAAAACCUUGAAAUUUUGAAAAGAAACAUUCGCUAUUGAAUAAAUUUAUUGAUCCGAUUGAAAAGUAAA
rnacentral:misc_RNA from 1 species